UUUCUAGAGUUCAAGACAGCUGAAAUCCUCAGGCCUAAUUCCAAAUCCCCAGGGAAGGAGUCUCACUGGCCCAUCUUGAUCCCCAGGAUCACAGUCAGUGGGUGCUGGGGAGCUGGCUUCCAUAGGCUCAUGAGAGCUGACUGUGCACAUCUCUUCCCAACUUUAAGUUCAGUGAUUUCAGACUGAAGGAACCUGAUCUCCACCUCAUGUCUAAGACUUUCCAUGAGACUUUCUUUGAAAACUGUCAAAUUAAACAACUG